GGGUCAGUAGGUUGGUCGUGCCACCGGUACGUACUGGUCUCACUGAUUCCUCCUUCCUGAAGAACCGUAAUGCCAUUAAUUUGGUGUUGCGGGGAAACAGGACUGUUACUUUGAAAAGAUUAGAAUGUUUAAAGCAAGCUAACGCUUGAAUACAUUAGCAUGGAAUAAUGAAAUAGGACGAUCGAUCCUAUUUUGUUGGUUUCUAGGAUUGACGUA
rnacentral:rRNA from 1 species